rnacentral:rRNA from 1 species
UGGGGAAUAUUGCACAAUGGGCGGAAGCCUGAUGCAGCGACGCCGCGUGAGGGAUGACGGCCUUCGGGUUGUAAACCUCUUUCAGUAGGGACGAAGCGUAAGUGACGGUACCUGCAGAAGAAGCACCGGCUAACUACGUGCCAGCAGCCGCGGUAAUACGUAGGGGGCAAGCGUUAUCCGGAUUCAUUGGGCGUAAAGCGCGCGUAGGCGGUUUGUUAGGUCAGGAGUUAAAUCUGGGGGCUCAACCCCUAUCCGCUCCUGAUACCGGCAGGCUUGAGUCUGGUAGGGGAAGGCGGAAUUCCAAGUGUAGCGGUGAAAUGCGCAGAUAUUUGGAAGAACACCGGUGGCGAAGGCGGCCUUCUGGGCCACGACUGACGCUGAGGCGCGAAAGCUAGGGGAGCGAACAGG